rnacentral:sRNA from 1 species
UUUGUUAAUCCGAAUUU